rnacentral:rRNA from 1 species
UACGUAGGGUGCAAGCGUUGUCCGGAAUUAUUGGGCGUAAAGAGCUCGUAGGCGGUUUGUUGCGUCGGCUGUGAAAUCCCGAGGCUCAACCUCGGGUCUGCAGUCGAUACGAGCAAACUAGAGUGUUGCAGGGGAGACUGGAAUUCCUGGUGUAGCGGUGAAAUGCGCAGAUAUCGGGAGGAACACCAGUAGCGAAGGCGGCUCGCUGGGCCACACCUGACGCUGAGACGCGAAAGCUAGGGGAGCGAACGGG